GGAUGUGUUAUGUGUUAUUGUAGAGGAUCUAAUAUGUGUGCUUAUGGUAUGUAGUGUUUAGGGUUACCAGUUUGUGCAGGUGAUGCAGUGUGUUUGUGUGCAGUGGAAGCAGUGUGUAUUUGUGUAUAAGGGAUGUAUUAUGUGUUUCUGGUUGUGUGUAAGGGAUGCAUUGUGUGAAUCUGUGUUUGUAUGCAUAAGGGAUGCAAGGUGUG